CCAAAUCCAAAUUCCAAAGCACCAAAAAAAAAAAGCAUUGUUCUUCUGCUGCUACACGCCUAAACCCAAAGGCCAAGCUCAAGUUUUAACAUCCGUUGUUAUUGUUUGAUCGAGACUUGAGUGAGUUUUAUUGAAUCGCAUGGCUUCGAAGCGGAUUAACAAGGAAUUGAAGGAUCUCCAGAAGGAUCCUCCUGUAUCUUGCAGUGCUGGCCCUGUUGGUGAUGAUAUGUUCCACUGGCAAGCACAAUCAUGGGCCCAGCAGACAGUCCUUUGCUGGAGGACUCUUUCUUAUUGCAAUUCACUUCCCCCAGAUUAUCCAUUCAAGCCUCCCAAGGUAUUAAAAAUAGUUGUUGAUCUGUUUUAUUACAUGCAUGUGUGUGUAUGUAUGUAUGAAACAUCAACAUCAUUUUGGUGUGGACGGAGGAUUCUUUCUUAUUGCAAUUCACUUCCCCCAGACUAUCCAUUCAAACCUCUCAAGGUAUUAAAAAUAGUUGCUGAUUUGUUUUAUUACAUGGAUGUAUGUGUGUGUGUAUGUAUGAAACAUCAACAUCAUUUUUGUGUGGGUUGUUUGUGCUAAAAGUCAAUACAUUGUUAUAAUCACAUUCAGAGAGAUUUAAACCCUUUCUGAGUUAACAGUUUUAUUGAACAGGAAGUAGAAAGAAAAGAAGAGUAACGCUUGAAAGCAUAAGAAUUUUGUUGGUAUGCUAGAAAAUGGACAUUUUAAAUGGUUUCCAUGUUCUGACCCCGUUUGAUUUUGUGUCCGAAACUCUGGUCCGCUAGGGAGUUUAUAUGAAUGCCUUGAGCCUGUAUCAGCAAAAGCUUUUUGUUUAUGUUGAUGAUCCGUUUCUGUGAUCUAAUCCAUGUACCUCUGUUUUGUUACUGAAGUUGGCAUAUAUACAUAUAUACUACAUAGUAAAAACAGGGUGUUCCGUUAAUACGUCUGCAAGUUUAGGUUUCUUUCCAAACAAAGGUUUCCUCCUAACAUCAACAGCAACGGAAGUAUCUGUCUCGACAUUCUGAAGGCAGUGGAGCCCUGCCCUUACCAUAUCCAAGGUGCUUCUGUCGAUUUGCUCACUUCUCACAGAUCCAAAUCCCGAUGACCCGCUGGUACCCGAGAUCGCUCACAUGUACAAGACCGAUAGAGCCAAAUACGAGAGCACUGCUCGCUCAUGGACUCAGAAAUUGCAUGAAUUAAGGUUUGACUCGGUCCCAGGAUGCCAGGUUUUGAUCCUAUUACUAAAUAAUAGUAAUACUAGUGUCUGGAUAUGUUUGAUCAAGUGGUGGUGUUUUAAUAGCUCAAAAGGUGUCUGGUAAGGGUAUUUUCCUUUUCACCAAAUGAAGUUUUACUUAAAAUUACUAGUUGAAAUUGUUUAGGGUUAUAGAUAUAUAAAUCCGAUAUUUCGUA